UUUUGUUAGUUCGUCUUCAUCUCCCAUCAAGCAUCCCCUUCUCUUUCCUCAAUGAUUUGUGUUUUUUGCUUAUCUUUUCGAUUACUUGAACUUUAGAUUUUUGCCUGUGCCUGUUUUUUUUUUGAUUAUUUGCCUUAGGACUGCCUGCCUCACCGUUGGUGUAAGUGAGUUCCUCCUUUUUAAACAAAUUACCUUCAACUGAACUUGCUUUGCCUGGUGUCCUGCAUUUGGGUCCAAAUCCCCUGUUCCCUGUUGCGACGCUGGAACUGAAUUGUGACAACAAGAAGGAGCAGCUACAGUGAGCUGUUACACCAAGAGCUUUAGGCGACAGGCUGCUCACCUCCAACUUCUCAGUAAGAAAAGAUGGCCAGCUCUUUUCCGGGAAAACCAGGUUUCUGCAGAAUACCGUUGCAUCAACAACCAGCGGCUGAGAGUUGAAGUGUAUAAUGCAUUGUUUGCUAGCUGUAGCCAGAGAGAUGCAGGGAGAAUUGGGCGGAAGUGCCCAGAAGAUCUCUUCUCCAUUGAAGAAGCAAACUCAGCAAACACAAGACAAAAUUGUGGAGCAGACUGUAGUUCUUCGAUGUCUACCAGUGCUGCUGCAAGAAGAGGACACAGAGCUGUUCUACACCUGCAAGGCACCAUGGAGUGACACAGUCAGAAGUGAAGUACAUCUCCUCCCAGCCCCGAGAGACAAGAGAGCCUGAUGGGUGAUAAAAUACAUCAAAACCACUGAGUUGAAAAACUAUCAACUACACCCUUGCUUGAAGCUGACGUGUCUAAAAGCACAUGCAUGACUGAGGCAUAGUAAUAAUAUUUCAAUGAAAGAUGCGCGGCCUGAGUAAAGGGCACACUGAAUUUACCAACCAAUAAGCUGUAGAAGAGUUGCAUUACGGAUGAGGAAUGAAUAAAAUAAAAUAAGAAAAGAGAUUCUCACCCGAA